UACGGAGGGUGCGAGCGUUGUCCGGAAUCACUGGGCGUAAAGGGCGCGUAGGCGGCCUGAUAAGUCCGCUGUGAAAGUCCAGGGCUCAACCCUGGGAUGCCGGUGGAUACUGUCGGGCUCGAGUCCGGAAGAGGCGAGUGGAAUUCCUGGUGUAGCGGUGAAAUGCGCAGAUAUCAGGAGGAACACCGGUGGCGAAGGCGGUUCUCUGGGCCUGUACUGACGCUGAGGAACGAAAGCGUGGGGAGCGAACAGG
rnacentral:rRNA from 1 species